rnacentral:lncRNA from 1 species
GCACGGCCCCAUCCAUCAGGUGCCUCCUGUAACCACCGACUUGAUUAAAACUCGAGCCGGGGAGAGAGAGACCCGCCUCGGUGCCGGGGCCGGGCUCAGCAGGAGCGGCUGCGUAAUUUAUCCCGAAACGGCGGCGGCCCACACAUGGUCGCUUCAUUUCAUGUUUGGCUGCUGCCGGGUCUUCAUUUAUAGAUGCUGUAAACAGGUUGACGGGCCCUAAUUAACUGAUUUGUGGGCCUUUGAGAGCAAAUGGUUAUUAAUAUUCGCAAAUAUUUGCAACGCUCAGGCACAUGCCCGGCCCUGACAUGAUCGUACUGUGUCCUCGACUGCGUGCACCUUGGAGUCCCGUCUUUCGCGAAGUCGGUUGUACGGUGAAAAAUAACAACCCAGACAGCAGUAGCUGGCGUCUCCCGGGCUCUUUAUCCCACGCCCGGCGCUGUGUUGAGUAUCUCACCUGCUCCUCUCUGUCGACUGUCUCGCCACAGCCCUGUGAGGUUUUUAUAUAAAGUGUGGAGCUCGAGGAGAGGCACCGUCCAAGUGCCUGCCAGCCCAGGACUCCACACCAGAGCACCUUCGACACUUGACGGCCUGCCCUGUCACGAAGCCUUCCAGUGACACAGUGGCCCCUUGUGUCCAGGGCAUCGUCCACCAGCUUCUGGACAUUUGAAUUACAUUCUGUUGGGGGUGGGGCGCUUGCUCACAGGAUUUUCGUCUCCUCUUAAGCAUCAUGGGACCGUCGGUUCCGACCACACAGCCUCCAGCCAGGUCUGCGCGGAGCCCCAGGGAUGGCGGCACACUCUUCUCUGGAAAACAGCAGGGUGGCACCCGCGGCUGGGCCCGGCUUCGGCCCUACAAUCACCAGACAAAGUGAACACCCAGUGGGGGACCCGCUGAGUGCAUUCGAGCCCCACAAUCACACUCCGCGUGUGUGAUGAGCCCACUGGAGUGGCCCUUGGCAACGGGGACACAGGAGGGAAGAGCAGGUCCACCUGCUGUCCCCACUCCGGCCAGGCAGGGGCCGUGACAGGGCGGGGCCGGCUGGAUUAUUUACAUUCGUUUAAACAUUAGUCGAAUGCUAAUUAUUAUCAUUACAGUUACAUCAUGUUUGUUAUAAAACUCAAGAA